CCUCAUCAGUUUUGCAACCACUCAUGCCUUCUACAGUCUAGAGUUUUCAUUUCUUCUUCAACCCCGCAGCCGUAAAACCUUUAUCUUCUCCACAGGUUCUCAAAUUAUGGGAUUGGUGGCUGAAACAUUUGCAACUACUCAUACUUGUCGAUUGGGUCAGGCUCAGUAGCAUCAUUUGAGAACAUUUGUCAACUCCUCCAUCUGUAUCAGACGUUCCUCCAAUGUAACCUGCACAUGUUACAAACGUAUUCGCUACGAGAGUGUCAUUCGAAACCAUAUUUUAUCUUGGACAGUGUGAUAAUUGAAACACUGAAUUUCAGAGAGGUGAGAAAUGGAAGCGCAGGUGUGUGAGACAAUCCGAGUGAGGAAGAACACGGAUGAAUUGAUGAGUUUUAAUGCUUGCAGUUAUAAAUCAACGGCAGCGACAAGGUCUUCUAGACUGGAUUCUCGGCAAAGUUUUAGCCCCAUCAUCACAACAAACUCUCUAGACUCGAAACCACUUUCCUAACCCAUUCUGCCGUGCUUCUUGGCUUCGAUUCCAAGUCCUAACCAUCUGCAAAGACUCAUCAAACCCAUGGCUAGCCGGACUUAAGACUUGGUUGAAAAACUGGUCGGUCCGGCCUUUUGACGAACACCUUGUCUGCGCCUAUCAAACUGGUGAAGGUUAUGUGUUAUCUGUAUAUAGGAGAUUGCACAAUAACUCCUUCCCUGCAAACCCAUGUCUAAACACAUUCAAUCUCACACAUUUAUUACUUCAAUCAGAUAGCAGCAGUAUCAUCUUUCUUUAUUAGUUUCUCCGCAAAAAAUUCAUUCAAAAAUCUUCCCAAACUCGAGUUUGCUUUGCUGCCAAAACGAAUAAAGACUACCCCAUUAAUCCUUAUCUUCUGUGAACUUUCAAAUACCACUUCAUCUUCUUUCUCGACCAAAAUCAAUGGCAGCAGCUUGAGCUUCUUCAUGGUUUCUCGACAGUUAACAGAUCCUAACAGAACCACCAAACCCGUAACACACUUUCUCAUUUGUCUUGAAUUCGUAAUCUUCUUUGAACCCUUGGUACUCAUCCAUGGACCUUAGGUUUGCCAGCGUUGAGAAUGGUGCAGUCAUCUAGGUCGUGUCCCUAAUUUCUUAUUUUGGGUUAAAAAAGGUUUGAGCUGGGGUUGAUGUUGUUGUGGAUACUCUGGUUUCAACACGCGGCUCCAGAAAAACAGCUAUUAUUUUUUAAGGAUCA